rnacentral:rRNA from 1 species
GUGUCAGCAGCCGCGGUAAGACAGAGGGUGCAAACGUUGCUCGGAAUCACUGGGCGUAAAGGGCGUGUAGGCGGGAAUGUAAGUCGGGCGUGAAAUCCCUAGGCUCAACCUAGGAACUGCACUCGAAACUGCGUUUCUUGAGUAUCGGAGAGGAAAGCGGAAUACCUGGUGUAGAGGUGAAAUUCGUAGAUAUCAGGUGGAACACCAGUGGCGAAGGCGGCUUUCUGGACGAUAACUGACGCUGAGACGCGAAAGCGUGGGGAGCAAACAGGAUUAGAUACCCUAGUAGUCC